GCCGGCAUAGCUCAGCUGGUAGAGCAACGCAUUCGUAAUGCGUAGGUCCUCCGUUCGAGUCGGAGUGUCGGCACCA
rnacentral:tRNA from 1 species